GUAGGGUGCAAGCGUUAUCCGGAUUUAUUGGGCGUAAAGAGCUCGUAGGUGGUUUGUCGCGUCGUUUGUGAAGUCCCGGGGCUUAACUUCGGGCGUGCAGGCGAUACGGGCAUAACUUGAGUGCUGUAGGGGAGACUGGAAUUCCUGGUGUAGCGGUGAAAUGCGCAGAUAUCAGGAGGAACACCAAUGGCGAAGGCAGGUCUCUGGGCAGUAACUGACGCUGAGGGACGAAAGCGUGGGUAGCGAACAGGAUUAGAUACCCUGGUAGUCCACGCCGUAAACGAUGGAUACUAGUUGUUGGGUUUUCGGAUUCAGUGACUAAGCGAAAGUGAUAAAUAUCCCACCUGUGGAGUACGAACGCAAGUUUG
rnacentral:rRNA from 1 species